UACGGGAGGCAGCAGUGGGGAAUAUUGGACAAUGGGCGAAAGCCUGAUCCAGCCAUGCCGCAUGAGUGAAGAAGGCCUUCGGGUUGUAAAGCUCUUUUAGUGAGAAAGAUAAUGACGGUACUCACAGAAGAAGUCCUGGCUAACUCCGUGCCAGCAGCCGCGGUAAUACGGAGAGGGCUAGCGUUAUUCGGAAUUAUUGGGCGUAAAGAGCGCGUAGGCUGAUUAGUAAGUUAAAAGUGAAAUCCCAAAGCUUAACUUUGGAAUUGCUUUUUAAAACUGCUAGUCUGGAGAUUUGAAAGAGGAUAGAGGAAUUCCUAGUGUAGAGGUGAAAUUCGUAAAUAUUAGGAGGAACACCAGUGGCGAAGGCGUCUAUCUGGUUCAAAUCUGACGCUGAGGCGCGAAGGGCGUGGGGAGCAAACAGGGAUUAGAUACC
rnacentral:rRNA from 1 species